UACGUAGGGUGCAAGCGUUAAUCGGAAUUACUGGGCGUAAAGCGUGCGCAGGCGGUUAUGUAAGACAGAUGUGAAAUCCCCGAGCUUAACCUGGGAACUGCCAUUGAUACUAUUAAUCUUGAAUACCGUGGAGGUUAGCGGAAUAUGUCAUGUAGCGGUGAAAUGCUUAGAUAUGACAUAGAACACCAAUUGCGAAGGCAGCUGGCUACACGAAUAUUGACACUGAUGCACGAAAGCGUGGGGAUCAAACAGG
rnacentral:rRNA from 1 species